GGAUCCUUGAACUGCAUGCCAGAGAAGGGGAGUUUAAAAGCAUCUGUUUUCCUCUGUGCAAUUUUCACACUUCUGUUCCUGGGAGACUGAGGUUUGGCCCUCAGGGCUGGCAUGGAAGGCUCCAGAUCAGCACCCGAGAGCUCCAUCUGCAUUGCGUCCUCAGCAACUGCUCAGAGGCCCACAAGAAGGUGGGUUCCACAGGAAAACUCCUUGGUGAGAUCAUGUAAGGUGGCCACAUCACAGGUGCCUGGGACUGCAGGCUCUGCUGGAUGUGUCUGCAAGAAUUCCUCAGCCCAGUCCUGGGUCCAUUAGAAUAACCCACUGUGUAUCAGCUUUGAUAGACCUCACCUGGGAGCAGCCAUAAAGACAGAAGGGCAGCAAGCUCCUGCUUCAUACCCCAGUAACCCACAGCCUCCCUCUGUGCACAUGACUCCCACAGAUGAAGUAAAACCUGAUUUAAGUGCCAGCAGAGAGAGACUGCUUGAAAGGGAACUUGGCACCAUGUUUCUUGGCCUCUCCAAAUCUGGAUUAUGAUGGAUACCACAAAUACAUAGAUGAAAUGCUUCCAUCUGAAAGCCCUGUACUAUAUGGACUGCACCCCUCUGCUGAGAUGGGAUUCUUGUCAACAUCAGAUAAUCUCUUCAAAACUCCUUUAGAAAAGCAAGCCAUAUCUCCAUGGGAGAGGGAUCAGGCCAGUCUG